rnacentral:rRNA from 1 species
CCCUUAGAUGUUCUGGGCCGCACGCGUGCUACACUGAGUGGAUCAGCGGGUCAGGUUACGCGAGAGCGUUUCCUAAUCUUCAAAUCCGCUCGUGAUGGGGAUUGACGGUUGCAAUUUUCCGUCAUGAACGAGGAAUACCUUGUAAGCGCGGGUCAUCAUCCCGCGCUGAAUACGUCCCUGCCCUUUGUACACACCGCCCGUCGCUCCUACCAAUUGAGUGGUCCGGUGAGGCUUUGGGAUCUAAGCGAAAAGAGCGUUUCGCUCCUUUUGCUGGGAGAACUCAGUCGAACCUUAUCAUUUAGAGGAAGGAGAAGUCGUAACA